AAGAGGAGGAAGCAGGGAGUGCCUCCUGGUGGGAGCUGGUGUCACAGGGGGAUGCUGCGACAGCCAGCAAUGUGGCACCAAAUCUGGGAGGGAGUCGGGGAAGAGCAUCUCCCCUCUGAUCUCCUGUCUGUGCCUCUGGCUGACUAAACCCAAGGGGAAGCCAGAGGGCAAGGGAGAGCGAGGAUGCUCGGUGGAUCAGCCUUUCAGGCCACAAGCAGGUUGCUGUUGGUGGUGGUAUUUCCUUCUCCCAUCGUCUGUCUCCAUCAGGGCUGGAUACCCUGGCAUUCUGGUGUCUCUUUGUGAAAAGGCUGGCACAGAUUUUACUCCCAUUUCCCCAAGAAGCAUAUCCUUGGACACCAAACUUUACCUCUUUCUAAGACAAGGCUGAGAAGACUUAUCUUGUGAAGUGAACUAACAGGCAACUUUAACAUCUGUCUUCCUGAGGCACUCAGACAGGAAGCCGCAAAGCUUUCAAUCAUCUGGAUGCCGCAGCAAUGCAAUCGAGGAGCGGAGAAAUGAACGGGGCCCUUCUCACUCUAUCCUCUGCUAUCAACUUUGGAAUAUUGUCUUUCUAAGAUGCUAGAAAACACCAUGCAAUGCAGGCCAAAACAAGACAGGUGGCAUCCAUUGGAAUUGGAAAUGAGGUGCUGAGAUAAUGGACUGGGGCUCCACCGUGGCUGGCCUCAGGGAGUGGCUCCCGGUCAGAGGGCUCAUUGUGUUUCUCUCUUAAUGAGCAGACUUCAU
rnacentral:lncRNA from 1 species